GCGGCCGUGGCGGAACGGGCAGACGCGCAGGUUUUAGGUACCUGUGGGGGAGACUCCGUGAGGGUUCGAAUCCCUCCGGCCGCA
rnacentral:tRNA from 1 species